rnacentral:rRNA from 1 species
UACAGAGGUCCCAAGCGUUGUUCGGAUUCACUGGGCGUAAAGAGUGUGUAGGCGGUGUUCUAAGUCUGGUGUGAAAUCUCCCGGCUCAACUGGGAGGGUGCGCUAGAAACUGGAAUGCUAGAGGAUGGGAGAGGUAAGCGGAAUUCCUGGUGUAGCGGUGAAAUGCGUAGAUAUCAGGAGGAACACCUGUGGUGUAGACAGCUUACUGGACCAUUUCUGACGCUGAGACACGAAAGCGUGGGUAGCAAACAGG